AGGGCACAUCCUUUCUAACAACCUUCGCCGGCGUCACAGCAGGGACUGUCUUUUCAACGACAGCAUUUGUUUCUUCAGCCUUUGCUUUUUCUUCCUUCAUCUUGUUUUUCACGUCAUCAACUUGGUGUUUCAAGUCUUCAAUUGUUUCAUUAAGAUGUUUUUCGUUACGAACCUCUUUGAUGUCGCUAUUACACACAUUCUUUUGGACUUCUUUUUGAAUUACAGUUUCCUUCUCGACAUCUUUUCCAUCACUCUUCUCUGUAAUAUUCUUCUUCUCCACAGAUGUCACUUUCGUGCUUUCCUGUGAAGGUAGAAGUUCUUCUUUCUCUUUCACAACAACUUCAUUCGUUAUAUUGCUGGCCAGAAUCUCCUUUCUUUGCUCUGUUCGUUCUGCCUUCUCUGUAACAUUCCUCUCCUCCACAGAUGUCACUUUCGUGCUUUCCUGUGAAGGUAGAAGUUCUUCUUUCUCUUUCACAACAACUUCAUUCGUUAUAUUGCUGGGCAGAAUCUCCUUUCUUUGCUCUGUUCGUUCUGCCUUCUGAAGUCCAUCAUCCUUCUCUGUAAUGUUCCUCUCCUCCACAGAUGUCACAUUAGUGCUUUCCUGUGAAGGUAGAAGUUCUUCUUUCUCUUUCACAACAACUUCAUUCGUUAUAUUGCUGGCCAGAAUCUCCUUUCUUUGCUCUGUUCGUUCUGCCUUCUCUGUAACAUUCCUCUCCUCCACAGAUGUCACAUUAGUGCUUUCCUGUGAAGGUAGAAGUUCUUCUUUCUCUUUCACAACAUCAUUCGUUAUAUUGCUGGGCAGAUUCUCCUUUAUUUGCUCUGUUCGUUUUGAUUCGGUUUUGUUUUUAGCUUUGUCGUCC